GAGGAGGAUCUUGGGAUUUGACUGGUUUUAAUGGCCACACCUGAUUCUGGUUUUUCCACUGCAUCAGAAGGAAGAUCUUUGCUCUGGCAUUUCCCUGGAAAUCCUGGUCUUGUGGAAAGAUUUGGAUACUCAUGGGUGGGACAUCUGCCUUGAAGGAGACUACUUUUCCCUGGAGUGCUGAGAGUCAUCUGUCUGACAGCUACCAGUCAAAGACCACUUGGCUAAGCUUAGAGUCUAAGAAAAUUUCCAAAAGCACUGAAAGUUUAAGUGACUUGUCAAGAGGAACACAGCCAUUAUGCAUCACAACUGGGACAUCAAUGGAGGUCUUUCUGAUUCUGCUGACAAGUCACUAUCUACUAGUCUAUUUUGAUCUUCACCUGAAACACAACAACAGGACAGGAGAAAAGGCUCCAUGUCGAGAACAAAGUGCAACAUUCAAAUACAGUCACUGGAGAAGGAAGAGUCACUAGCAGAAGUGAAGAGAAGAGGCAAGCCAUUGAAAUAUAACCGUGGCCCCAACUUCCAGAAAAAGAAUUAAUUCAGAGUCUUAAUAGAAUGGGGAUAAGGUUUAUAUAGAGUAAAUAAUAUAAGAGCAAUACAAAAGGUAGAUAAUAUGAUAUAGGUUGUAUAUAUUAUCAUAUAAUACAUAUUUCUACAUUCAUUAUAUUGUGAAAUAAGAUGCAUAUUGUUUACAGUAGAGAAGAAUUCAUGGGGUAAAUAAAGUGACAAACAGUCAUUUCA
rnacentral:lncRNA from 1 species